UACGUAGGGGGCUAGCGUUAUCCGGAUUUACUGGGCGUAAAGGGUGCGUAGGUGGUUUUUUAAGUCAGGAGUGAAAGGCUACGGCUCAACCGUAGUAAGCUCUUGAAACUGGGAAACUUGAGUGCAGAAGAGGAAAGUGGAAUUCCUAGUGUAGCGGUGAAAUGCGUAGAUAUUAGGAGGAACACCAGUAGCGAAGGCGGCUUUCUGGACUGUAACUGACACUGAGGCACGAAAGCGUGGGGAGCAAACAGG
rnacentral:rRNA from 1 species